rnacentral:rRNA from 1 species
GACGAACGCUGGCGGCGUGCCUAAUACAUGCAAGUCGAGCGCAGGAAACCGACGGAACCCUUCGGGGGGAAGCCGACGGAAUGAGCGGCGGACGGGUGAGUAACACGUAAAGAACCUGCCCUCAGGUCUGGGAUAACCACGAGAAAUCGGGGCUAAUACCGGAUGGGUCAUCGGACCGCAUGGUCCGAGGAUGAAAGGCGCUUCGGCGUCGCCUGGGGAUGGCUUUGCGGUGCAUUAGCUAGUUGGUGGGGUAAUGGCCCACCAAGGCGACGAUGCAUAGCCGACCUGAGAGGGGGAUCGGCCACACUGGGACUGGGACACGGCCCAGACUCCUACGGGAGGCAGCAGUAGGGAAUCUUCCACAAUGGACGAAAGUCUGAUGGAGCAACGCCGCGUGAACGAUGAAGGCCUUCGGGUCGUAAAGUUCUGUUGUAAGGGAAGAACAAGUGCCGCAGGCAAUGGCGGCACCUUGACGGUACCUUGCGAGAAAGCCACGGCUAACUACGUGCCAGCCGCCGCCGUAA